rnacentral:rRNA from 1 species
ACGAAGGGGGCUAGCGUUGUUCGGAUUUACUGGGCGUAAAGCGCACGUAGGCGGAUCGUUAAGUCGGGGGUGAAAUCCCGAGGCUCAACCUCGGAACUGCCUUUGAUACUGCAAAUCUUGAGUCCGGAAGAGGUGAGUGGAAUUCCUAGUGUAGAGGUGAAAUUCGUAGAUAUUAGGAAGAACACCUGUGGCGAAGGCGGCUCACUGGUCCGGUACUGACGCUGAGGUGCGAAAGCGUGGGGAGCAAACAGGA